rnacentral:misc_RNA from 1 species
UUUUCUCCCUAAAGUCAUAUGGCAAGUUGGCUGUUGCUUCACUACAAAUCAUGGAAUCUUGGGAUAUUUCAAGAGGGCACUUGCAUUUUAUUUCCACUUACAAAAUUCAACUAGAUUCCUCGGGCACCAUAUGAAGGACAUCCGAGAAGAUGAACAAUUCAAAUUUCCUAAUGAAUGAUGGGAAAAUUGACCAUGUCUUCUUCUGGAUUUACAAGCAAUUCAUAGACACCGUAGUUUGCAGAUUAGGUGCUUUUGAAUUUUAGUUCCAUGUAAAGAGAAAGAAAAAAAAAAGGGUGGGGUGGGGUGGCAGGAGGGGAUAGAGAGAGAAGAAAUCCCUAAAGUCCAUGGUCAAGAGUAAAAAUCCUGUAACAGCCUGUGUUUUACAUUCUUAGUGAUUGCACAACCUGAAACGAAAAAUACACAUUGCGGCCUAGUGAAACAAACUUGAGACUUGAGGGGCUGAUUAUUUGCAAAUUUGUCUACGCAAAAUUUAAUCAAAAGACCUUAAUGAGAUGUCCAUUGAGACAAUUCUCCUUUUAUCCCACCUUUCAGGAUUCUUAUAUCCAAGCAUGAUUGUGAGUGCUCUUCUUCCAUAGCUUUUAAAGCUCCUAAUCCUUUCCACAGCACCGUUUGUAUCUCUUCUUGGAACCGCAUGGACAGAGUGCAUUUCUGCUUAACUGCCCACUCUUAGCCAAAUUAGACCUGGCAAGAUCUAAUGGCGUUGACCCCAUCAUCUUUUGCAUCUCAGCAAUGCUCUUUGGAACAGGUUUUCCUUCUUCCUUUAACUUCUGCAAUUUCUUUUGUGCUUCUUUGGCCCAUGUAAAUUGUGCAAGCGCCCUCUCAACAUCAGCUAUUGUACAAUUACAGUGCUUAGCUGCUUCUUGCUUUUGGGUGGUUUGCAGGUUCUGCCAAUCAAGAAACCUCUCCAGUAGGAUCAAAUCCAUGGAGAUAUCGAAUUAUCCCCUCCAUUUUUUCAAAAGCAUCGGCAAAUGUUGCUUCACUGCUUCGACCCACUAUGAAUUGCUUGAAUGACCCAACCCUCCUCGCAUUCUUCAACUCAUCAGCAAAACGAAGAAGCGUGAACGAUUCCAGAGUGUCUUUGGAGUCGGCUUUUUUGCCAGUGAAGACCCCCUUGAUGGAGUCCAUCCAUGAGCAAACGGAUGUGGUGGAGGAAAUCAAGCGGUACUGCGAUGGAGCUAGGCGAGUGUCACGGUGACAAAAUGCGGACGAAUAGAAGAAGAAGGGGGAUUUAGGGUUUUGCUUGGAAAUGCUGAGUAUAAAUCUUGGAGAUUGCAUGCUUUUUGGCUUCAGGAAUGGAAGUGUCUCCUAUGUCUUGAGUGUCCACUAUGUCUUGA